rnacentral:misc_RNA from 1 species
UACAUAUGCUAAGCAAAGCACAUUCAGUGAAGUGAGGCUUUUUGCCUCAACUUCAAGGCUAACAUUGAAAGAUGCUGAGACUGAUUUAAAUGAAGAUUUUGAUGGAAAUGUAUCUUAUUUUGGAGAUGGAGAUGAAGAUGAGAUUGUUGAGAACUUCGAUGGCAAAUCUAGUGAAGAUAAGUUACUACGAUUUUGAAUGCCAAAAACUUUAAGAUGUUUGAUGAUUUCUUAAGAGCUUAAAUUUCAUAUAGUAUAGUAUUUUCUUUGCAUAUUAAACUCAGUUAAUUUUUUAAUAAUUUUGCG